rnacentral:rRNA from 1 species
AGACACCAGGCAGAUCACGUCAAGUAAACUUAAAUUAACAAGUAGAAACGCAGUGACCCCUAGCCCAUAUGUCUUUGGUUGGGGCGACCGCGGGGGAAAAUAAAGCCCCCAUGUGGACUGGGGGCACUGCCCCCACAACCGAGAGCUACAGCUCUAAGCACCAGAAUUUCUGACCAAAAAUGAUCCGGCGAACGCCGAUCAACGGACCGAGUUACCCUAGGGAUAACAGCGCAAUCCUCUCCCAGAGUCCCUAUCGACGAGGGGGUUUACGACCUCGAUGUUGGAUCAGGACAUCCUAAUGGUGCAGCCGCUAUUAAG